GUGUGAAUAUACCGACAUGGACAUCGAUUAACUCCUGUCGUUCUCUUCAGGUGCCGCUAUAUUGUCCAGGAGACCCCAUAAAUUUCCAAGGUGUCUAUUUUCUCCAUACCCACUGAGCCACACUUUAGCAUAUGGAAAAGUACAUAAGAAGUGUUGACGGUGAUCGCGGUCCACUAUAAUAUAUGUACAUGAACAUUUUCCUCUACGACGAUGUCUGUGUGAUCACUUCGUGACGAGUCAAAAAUUUCGUCAUUCUGACUAAGAUAAUGGGUUAGAGAUCAUCUAAAGAAAAAUAUUCACAAAUAAACCGGAGCUUGGAAUACUCAUAGAUGCUGCUGUUCACUUGAGGAAGCUAUAAGAAUAUAAGAAAGAUCACAAUAAUAUUGGAAAGGCACUGAAUGAGUUUGUCUCUUCUUUUUAAGAUCACGUGCACCAAAGGUUUUUAUCAAUUACUUCAAUAUAUCGUAAAAUUUUCAAUCAAAACAAUCAAU